UUUUUUUUUUUUUUUUUUUUAAUAUCUUAAAGCCAGAGCGUAAAAACUUCCAGAUCCUUCUGCCGGAAAUCAAAGGCGGCUCCGAUGAGGGGAGAGAGAACGAUGCGUCUGACUCCAUACACUGCAUCUGAACUGGAUCUGCUUCGCACUCACUCUCGCUCACAACUGCACAGAACUGCACUCCGCUCUGAUUCUCCUGUGACUGCCUUGUGACAGUCCUGACACACACACUGUCCUGGCCCUGACAGGCCAAGGGAACAAAACAUCCUCACUUUGGGCAAACAAUCUCCACAUUGCAUUCUACUCUGGCACAACACAGGCACAGCAGGCAGAUCUGGAUCUUACAGAAGCCAGUGAUGCACAGCAUGCUCAGCAAUCCCACUCUGCCAGCAGACCAGUAUUUCUCCCUGUGAAAUCCCUGGGGCAAAGAGAGCUCUCUGGUUUUGCAACUGACACUGAAAGGAAGACUGAGUUUCAGAAUUUUAAUAUUGUAUUUCUGGGAUUCUCCGUUCAAUUUGCAAGCUUGAGAAGUGCAAGACAAAACCAAUUUGUGUCAGCCUCUGCCUCCCAAACCUUAGCACUGUGUCAAUGGAAAACAAUAAGAAAACUUGCUGCCUGGGAGAGACAGUGAUAAACUGCCACAUAAACAACUUUCUAAUAUCAAAUUGCUGAAGUCCAACUGCACUCAAAGACUGAGGACUACACAAGGAAGAUGAAUAACUUAUUUUCUGGAUCAGAUUUUUCAUGCUGGCAGCACAUCUGCCCAGCAAAGGAACCAGAAAACCAAGAGCUUUGGGGAGAAACAAACUGGAGACACUGUGGCCUUAUGUGUCAGAAAAAGAAAUUUCCCUGACAGAACAGAAAGUGUGCUUCAAUGUAGUUGAGGAUUAAUGAUGUCAGUCUUCAUGAAAAUUUACCACAACCAGAAGAACAUGCACAACAGGAACAAAUUGUAAUGUACAUUUACAAUUCACAUAUUUCAGUGUUUCCUGCUGAAAUUGAACUGCUGGAAUGGUGUGUAACAACUUUUUACCAGUACAGUAAUGAGAGAGAUAGGAAACUGAAAAUAUUAUGCUGAAAAGAUAUUUAAAAGAAGAAGAGGAAAUUCUUGUUAAAAGAACAGAAAUGGAAAUAUAUCAAGAUGAAGAGGUGGCAGCAUAUGGCACUUGGCAGAGGCUCCUGUCCCUGCCCAGGUGACUCAGAAGCCAAGCAGGUCUUUACUGCAGCAGAGGGCACCAGAGCAACGAGGAUGAGGAGAGAGGUGCUGGGUAACACUGGAAGGCAGCUCUGGGAUGGAAGUGAAGCAAUGACAUGUAAGCAAAAAGGCAGCAAGGAGCUCCAUGGGAAUCUGGGGCACAUGCAGCUGAGUCAGCAUUCUGCAUCCCACAUCACCCACAAGACCAGGAGGAUGAUGAGACGUGACCAUUUAGUAAGCAAAACUUCUAAUAAGAAAUCAUCAAAGCAAAGUUUCUUACCUUCCUUAGAUUUUUUUUUCUUUUUUCACAUCAGUUACAGCCUGAGGAUAGAUUUACAUAGAUCUUUUGCAUUCCAAGUAGCCUGAAAACAAAAACAUGAAUAACUGCACUGAUAUUCUGCAAAUUCAUUAUACACAGCAUCAAAGAACUGCAAAAGGUUUUUAAACAAGUCUGAUGUUUAUAUAAUAUUAUUUGUGGAAAUUGAAUGGUUGGGAGAGAAGCAUUCAUGGUGGAACAUUGAUUUUACACGUAUGCAUUGCACAUUCCCUAAGAUCCUUCAGAGAUUUCUUGCACAAAUAAAAUCUAAGCCUUGUGUGUUAUGGUGGAGAUACUGAGCAUGUCCUUCCACAGUGGAAGGCUCUAUUCUGCUGUCAUCCUUUUAUUAUUUUAAAAGAAGUAUAUAUAACUAGCUCUAAUAGUUGCUGCUGUAUCCCAUGGGCUUGGAUGAUAUUCAACAUGCUCUUUAGUGAAUACUGGACUUUUUUGCAAGGAUUAUAUUGGAUUGAUACAGUCUUCUGUUUCUGUCAUUGGAAUUUUAUAAAAGGAAAUUAGGUUUUAUUAAUAUGAUGGUCAAGCACAUACAAGUACUAAAGUUUUUAUUUUUUGCUAUCUGACAUUUACAUGAAAGAAUCUUGGUGGUGUGAAAUAACAAGAAUUUUUUAUACAUGUUUGCAGCCACCUGGAAAAAUAUUUCAUUCUGAUAUCAGAGGUUUCAAAAUAGAAUUUGUCCAUUAUUAUCAGUUUUACAGGUCAUGUUGAUAACUAACUAACUAAUUAAAUAUAUAUAUAUA